UCAAGUCUUCUUUCCAACACUCUCUCUCCCUCCCGUCAAAGUUCCCCCAGAAGACUUCCCAGGCUGGCAGGAUUUCUUUCCAGGCUGUGAAAGUGAGGACUGUUGUGUUAAGUGGAAUCGUGUUCAGGUUAGAAAAGUUAGAGAAGCCACAGAGAUCUUCGGAGUGGAAGGUCUCGCCGUUGUCCUGUUCCAGGCAGAGUGACUGAAGGCACCUCGGAGCUGUUUGGGAAUAUUUGUUGGAAAUGAUUAUUUAAAAAGACCCUGAAUUUCAAGCCCGUAAUGAAUCAACUCUUUAUCCCGUUGGUCCUUCAGAUGUGAAAACAAUUUUGGGUCGGAAACGGUGAGUGCUAGCUAAAAGUCAAACUAACACUUUCCUGAAUUAUUUUUUCCUGGUCAUGGACACAUCUGCCUGCCUUGAAGGUUCAACCUUGAACCCUGAAUCAACACUCAAUUUAAAGAACACUUUAGCCCUUGAGGAAGUGGAUUUUUGUAUUCAAACAAGAGGACUAUGUCUGGUAUAUUUACUGAGAGUUUGAAUUUGCACAAGGUUUCACAACAUUAACAAAUGCUGUAGUAUUUCUAUUGUCUUGUCUAUCCCAGUUUCCUGCUUUGGAACCAUCUCCGCUUGAGAAGGCUGCUUUUCCUCAGUUGGAUGGGGAUCUUCAAUACCUUUUAAGUCUUGCUCCCUUCCCCUCCACCCUCAUAUUGCAAAUCAGUGGUGAGCUAAACGCAUUUUUGCCUUGAACCAGCCCAGCGAAGUGGGGCUCAGUUCCCUCUGGUAAGGAGAUUUCCACGGCUUUCUUUCUGGCUCAGUCACCCAUAGUACCCAUAGUUUCCAUGUGUUCACUUCCCUUUCUUUGGUUAGUAGCUCUCCACAUUACCCUUCACCACCACUCUCUCUAUGUCCCACUCCAUCAGGUUUUUUUAAACUAUAUAAAAGGGCAUGUUUGCUCAAAGCAUCUUUGCACAUUCCUAGUAUAAAUAAUUCUAAAUCAAGAUUGAAACAGUCGUACAUUCUGAUUCUGUUCUUUUCUGGUCAGUACUUAGCAUAAGAUCCAGGCUAUAAUAAGCUUUUUCAGUGAACAGGUUUAAUGUAAAAGCAUCAUCCUCUACUGUGAGUGACAAAAGUGAAUUAUAAUCCUGUAUUCAAUUUCACUCUAAACUUUUUCUCUUCUGACUCCUCCAGAAAAUGCAAUGACUAAUGACUCACUUUGUACCAAUGACACCUGUAGGGAAACCCAAAUGUUCUGCAGCAGAACAUCAUGACCAUCACUUACUGAACUGCCUGCAUCAUGCCCUUCUGAACUCACUGUGAGAAAAGCUAAGAGCAAACUGGGACAGAAGAAAGAAGAGAAACAAACUAGCAUAUUAAGGAAGCAAACUUAGCAAAGGCAAGUGUGAAAAGAAACAGCAAAAGGGAGAGCCAAGCAACACAGAAAUCAGCAGUGGCUGUUUCCAGUGUAGAUAUUGAAUCAUCCUGUGUGGUCCACUGGGAGAUGACCUAAGUCCAAAGUCCCAUGGAAGCUGUACUCUUAAAUUUAAAGCCAAAAACAACAAAUGGGAUUUGAAAGGUUAAGGAGAAAGGAUCACUAUCAAAGUAAAAGGGCGAUAUGCGAAAUAUGGUGGCCCUUGAAGAGGACAUGACUAGCAAAGGAAGGCGGAGAUAUGGGAUCUUUUAAGAAAUGGAGGAUUUCACAGGAGGAGAAGUUCAAAAUCUAUUGUACUGUACCAUUCCUUUUAAGAAAUGAGAGAUUCCUUGAUGAGGAAGAACUCAAAACCUACCAUACUGUACCACUCUCACAAAGAAGGGGUGGACCACAUUCCACAUACUCAUGAUUAUCAGAAAGUGGGUUUCUAGAUGAGAAUGUGAGAGCCAGAGAUGCCUUAGAAAUCAGUCACCUGGUCUGACCACCGAAUGCCUACCUUGAAGAUACUGACCCAGGAAGUUAAGGGGCUGGACCACGUUCAUACAGCUGCCCCGUGGCAAAGGGAGACUGGAACCAGCCCAUCCUUUUCUCCCUGUGUCUCAUUCCCUCCCUCCUGAACCACACACUGACUUGAUCUGCUUUUCCAUUUCCAGAACUUUGACCAAAACCGCCUUCCUCCAGGUGGAUGAGGCAGUCACAUAGUUAUGCGUAUCUUUUUCUCCAGAUCUCCUUCCACAUGGCUAUGUCUAAGACUUCAAAUUGCAGUUUUAUAAAUUAAUGCCAUCCAGCAAGGAAUGAAAAUCACUUCUGAUAUUAAACAAGGGUAUUCUUCAUAUACAUACCGCAUUAUGAAAUUGAAAUAAAAGAAAUGGCUUUCAAGACCUCUUGUACUUUAUUUUGCAACUGCUUAAAAUAAGAUCAUCAAAGACUGUUGGAAUUGGAAGGAACCUUGGAGGACUCCAGGCCAAAUCUCUCGUAGAGCAGCAGGGAGGAAGCCAAGAGACCUGCCACAUCCUUAUUCAGACCCUGCAGGGAGCUCGGGCCACCUGAUGCCACUCCGGCCACCACCAGUUUUUCACUUUUCCAUUCAACCAUCAAGUGUCUUCAGUUUUAGAAACAUUUUAAUCAUCAAUGGAAAUGGAAAUGAAUGUUAAAAAUAAAAUUUUACUA